UACGGAGGAUGCGAGCGUUAUCCGGAUUUAUUGGGUUUAAAGGGUGCGUAGGCGGGACCAUAAGUCAGCGGUGAAAGUUUUCGGCUCAACCGGAAAAUUGCCGUUGAAACUGUGGUUCUUGAGUGCAGAAGAGGUAGGCGGAAUUCGUUGUGUAGCGGUGAAAUGCGUAGAUAUAACGAAGAACACCAAUUGCGUAGGCAGCUUACCAUACUGCAACUGACGCUGAGGCACGAAAGUGUGGGUAUCAAACAGGAUUAGAUACCCGCGUAGUCCCUGA
rnacentral:rRNA from 1 species